GUUAGGACUCUAGCUUGGAGAGUCCUAAUUGAGAGGGACAUUCAUGUAAAACUGUUAGGACUCUAGCUAAGAGAGUCCUAAUUGAGAGGGACAUUCUAUUAGGACUCUAGCUAGGAGAGUCCUAAUUGAGAGGGGCAUUCAUGUAGGAGGUUUUUUCUUAGAGAAUAAUUAGGAGUUGUAAGGGAAUAGGAGUCUUGAGUAGGAGUCCUAUUAGGAGUUGGUUAGAAG
rnacentral:lncRNA from 1 species